GCAGUACAUGGGUUCACAAAAGAAUUGGAUACAACUUAGUGACUAAACAACAAAAACAAAAUAUUCUUGUACAAGAAAUUCUCAGAGUGGUGACCUGCUAUUCUAGGUCAGGUCCCAGAAGCAGAGCCUGACACCUGGAUUCUGGUGGAGAUAAUUUACUUCAGGUGCUCUCAGGUGAAACCUAUAAGGGACAGAGGCAGCAGAGUAAGAAUGAGGUCUUAGGUCAAGUCUUGGAUUAUCCUUGAGACAAGGGGGCUGCCUUCUGUACCCCGUAUCAGUCAUCAGUUGGGCUGACCCCUCGGAGUGUGGGGGUAUAACUUCUUGGAUGAGAUGGCACCAAUCAGCUGAGGACAAGUCUCUUGAGAGGAAGCAGCUGUGAGCCAUCAACCCCCGAUACCAACAGCAGAUGUGGAAAGACUUCCUUGACCUGACCGCCAGGUUCCUGUGUCGGUGAGAUCCUCCAGGCAAGAAUACUUCUCCAGGGGAUCUUCCUAACCCAGGGAUCGAAUCUGGGUCUUUGUGAUAUGAAGGUCUUUGUUCCAUCCUAUAGGGGAGCAGUGGCAGUCAACACCAAUGUGUGGCAUGGGAUGAAUCUCUAACAGAAACCUCUGUGACUCUGCUUUGAGAAGUCUCUGCAAAGUUUGAAAUAUGCCAAAGAAAAAUGCCAGUGCUCCGCACUAUAAGAAUUACCAACUUUUAAUGAGUCCACUGAAGCAGAUAAUCAAUGAGGCUUCUAAAAGGCAGUUUUCUCCUCCAGGUCUUAGCAUCAUUACAAGCUCCUGAAGGAUGGAAGUUGUUCUGAAAGACUUAAAAAGGAUGAUAUGUACACAUACUCCUUUUAAAAAGCUGUUUUUCUA
ensembl:lncRNA